UACGUAGGGUGCAAGCGUUAAUCGGAAUUACUGGGCGUAAAGCGUGCGCAGGCGGCUUUGUAAGACAGGCGUGAAAUCCCCGGGCCUCAACCUGGGAAUUGCGCUUGUGACUGCAAGGCUAGAGUACGUCAGAGGGGGGUAGAAUUCCACGUGUAGCAGUGAAAUGCGUAGAGAUGUGGAGGAAUACCGAUGGCGAAGGCAGCCCCCUGGGACGUGACUGACGCUCAUGCACGAAAGCCAGGGAGCAAAGCGGG
rnacentral:rRNA from 1 species